rnacentral:rRNA from 1 species
CCUACGGGGGGCAGCAGUGGGGGAUAUUGCACAAUGGGGGGAACCCUGAUGCAGCGACGCCGCGUGGGUGAAGAAGCGCCUCGGCGCGUAAAGCCCUGUCAGCAGGGAAGAAAAUGACGGUACCUGAAGAAGAAGCCCCGGCUAACUACGUGCCAACAGCCGCGGUAAUACGUAGGGGGCAAGCGUUAUCCGGAUUUACUGGGUGGAAAGGGGGCGCAGACGGCGAUGCAAGCCAGGAGUGAAAGCCCGGGGCCCAACCCCGGGACUGCUCUUGGAACUGCGUGGCUGGAGUGCAGGAGGGGCAGGCGGAAUUCCUGGUGUAGCGGUGAAAUGCGUAGAUAUCAGGAGGAACACCGGUGGCGAAGGCGGCCUGCUGGACUGCAACUGACGUUGAGGCCCGAAAGCGUGGGGAGCAAACAGGAUUAGAUACCCUAGUAGUC